GGUGGCUCAGUGGUAGAGUACUUGCCUUGCAAUGCAUGAGGCCCUAGGUUCGAUUCCUUAACACCA
rnacentral:tRNA from 1 species